rnacentral:tRNA from 5 species
GCCGGGGUGGCGAAAUUGGCAGACGCGCAGGAUUUAGGAUCCUGUUCCCGAAAGGGAGUAGAGGUUCAAGUCCUCUUCCCGGCA